UCCAUUAAUCAAGAACGAAAGUUAGAGGUUCGAAGGCGAUCAGAUACCGCCCUAGUUCUAACCAUAAACGAUGCCAGCCAGCGAUCCGGCUGUGUUCCUCAAAUGACACGCCGGGCAGCUUCCGGGAAACCAAAGCUUUUGGGUUCCGGGGGAAGUAUGGUUGCAAAGCUGAAACUUAAAGGAAUUGACGGAAGGGCACCACCAGGAAUGGAGCCUGCGGCUUAAUUUGACUCAACACGGGAAAACUUACCCGGCCCGGACACAGGAAGGAUUGACAGAUUAAGAGCUCUUUCUUGAUUCUGUGGGUGGUGGUGCAUGGCCGUUCUUAGUUGGUGGAGCGAUUUGUCUGGUUAAUUCCGAUAACGAACGAGACUCUAGCCUACUAAAUAGACGUUCCGAUCAUCUCCGUCGGACGUUCUUCUUAGAGGGACAAGCGGCGUUUAGCCGCACGAGACAGAGCAAUAACAGGUCUGUGAUGCCCUUAGAUGUCCGGGGCCGCACGCGCGCUACAUUGAAGGAAUCAGCGUGUGCUUUCCCUGUCCGACAGGACUGGGUAACCCGUUGAACCUCCUUCGUGCUGGGGAUAGGGGCUUGUAAUUGUUCCCCUUGAACGAGGAAUUCCCAGUAAGCACGAGUCAUAAGCUCGUGUUGAUUACGUCCCUGCCCUUUGUACACACCGCCCGUCGCUACUACCGAUUGAAUGAUUUAGUGAGGUCUUCGGACUGGCGCUCGGAGCGGCCCUCGGGUCGCGCCGGCGUGCCGGAAAGAUGACCAAACUUGAUCAUUUAGAGGAAGUAAAAGUCGUAACAAGGU
rnacentral:rRNA from 1 species